rnacentral:rRNA from 1 species
UGCAGUCGAACGCUGAAGCUUGGUGCUUGCACUGGGUGGAUGAGUGGCGAACGGGUGAGUAAUACGUGAGUAACCUGCCCUUGACUCUGGGAUAAGCCUGGGAAACUGGGUCUAAUACUGGAUACGACAUGUCACCGCAUGGUGGUGUGUGGAAAGGGUUUUACUGGUUUUGGAUGGGCUCACGGCCUAUCAGCUUGUUGGUGGGGUAAUGGCUCACCAAGGCGACGACGGGUAGCCGGCCUGAGAGGGUGACCGGCCACACUGGGACUGAGACACGGCCCAGACUCCUACGGGAGGCAGCAGUGGGGAAUAUUGCACAAUGGGCGGAAGCCUGAUGCAGCGACGCCGCGUGAGGGAUGACGGCCUUCGGGUUGUAAACCUCUUUCAGCACGGAAGAAGCGAAAGUGACGGUACGUGCAGAAGAAGCGCCGGCUAACUACGUGCCAGCAGCCGCGGUAAUACGUAGGGCGCAAGCGUUGUCCGGAAUUAUUGGGCGUAAAGAGCUCGUAGGCGGUUUGUCGCGUCUGCUGUGAAAGCCCGGGGCUUAACCCCGGGUGUGCAGUGGGUACGGGCAGACUUGAGUGCAGUAGGGGGAAAAAUGGGAAUUCCCGGGGGUACCGGUGAAAUGCCCCAAAUUUCCGGGAGGAACACCCGAUGGGCGAAAGGCAGGGUCUUUUGGGCUUGUUACUUGACCCCUUAAGGAACCAAAAACCUUGGGGGAGCCGAACCGGGAUUUAAAUACCCCUGGGGGAGUCCCAUGGCCCGAAAAACGUUUGGGGCCCUAAGGGGGGGGGGGGAAAAAUUUCCC